AUUAGCGCGCCUGCAGUCACAGCCUAAUGAACUUCUGCCUGACCCUGCACUCCCGUUUGUGGUCGUGCUGGAAGGAAUGAGAAGGAGGUGUCUUUACAAACACACUGUGGGUCUGCUGGUAGACACACCCAGAUACUGAUAGAUUUGAAGAAAAAGAACACAGACACAAAGAAGAAGGGGAUACACGUCAGAAAGCCGCCUGGUUUAGGAAAUUUGGGAAGUUUGUACCUCUCAAGUAAGGGAAAGACAGAGAGAAAUGCGUCUGAUAAAUUAGCAUAAAAACGAGGCUGCGUUCUCCAGCAUCUUGGGUGACCCCAUGGGGAAUGCCCAUGGCCUUUCCCUUUAUGCCAAUAAAGUUACAGGGCUCCUGUGUCUCCUUUUGGACAUAAA